rnacentral:tRNA from 1 species
AUACAUCUAGCUCAGUCGGUAGAGCACGAGAUUCUUAAGCCCGGGAUCGUGGGUUCGAACACCACGUUGGGCG